rnacentral:rRNA from 1 species
AGAGUUUGAUCAUGGCUCAGAUUGAACGCUGGCGGCAUGCCUUACACAUGCAAGUCGAACGGCAGCACGAGAGCUUGCUCUUGGUGGCGAGUGGCGAACGGGUGAGUAAUAUAUCGGAACGUACCCUAGAGUGGGGGAUAACGUAGCGAAAGUUACGCUAAUACCGCAUACGAUCUACGGAUGAAAGUGGGGGAUCGCAAGACCUCAUGCUCAUGGAGCGGCCGAUAUCUGAUUAGCUAGUUGGUGGGGUAAAAGCUCACCAAGGCGACGAUCAGUAGCUGGUCUGAGAGGACGACCAGCCACACUGGAACUGAGACACGGUCCAGACUCCUACGGGAGGCAGCAAUGGGGAAUUUUGGACAAUGGGCGCAAGCCUGAUCCAGCAAUGCCGCGUGAGUGAAGAAGGCCUUCGGGUUGUAAAGCUCUUUUGUCAGGGAAGAAACGGUGGACUCUAAUACAGAUCACUAAUGACGGUACCUGAAGAAUAAGCACCGGCUAACUACGUGCCAGCAGCCGCGGUAAUACGUAGGGUGCAAGCGUUAAUCGGAAUUACUGGGCGUAAAGCGUGCGCAGGCGGUUGUGCAAGACAGAUGUGAAAUCCCCGGGCUCAACCUGGGAAUUGCAUUUGUGACUGCACGGCUAGAGUGUGUCAGAGGGGGGUAGAAUUCCACGUGUAGCAGUGAAAUGCGUAGAGAUGUGGAGGAAUACCGAUGGCGAAGGCAGCCCCCUGGGAUAACACUGACGCUCAUGCACGAAAGCGUGGGGAGCAAACAGGAUUAGAUACCCUGGUAGUCCACGCCCUAAACGAUGUCUACUAGUUGUCGGGUCUUAAUUGACUUGGUAACGCAGCUAACGCGUGAAGUAGACCGCCUGGGGAGUACGGUCGCAAGAUUAAAACUCAAAGGAAUUGACGGGGACCCGCACAAGCGGUGGAUGAUGUGGAUUAAUUCGAUGCAACGCGAAAAACCUUACCUACCCUUGACAUGUCUGGAAUCCUUGAGAGAUCAGGGAGUGCUCGAAAGAGAAUCAGAACACAGGUGCUGCAUGGCUGUCGUCAGCUCGUGUCGUGAGAUGUUGGGUUAAGUCCCGCAACGAGCGCAACCCUUGUCAUUAGUUGCUACGAAAGGGCACUCUAAUGAGACUGCCGGUGACAAACCGGAGGAAGGUGGGGAUGACGUCAAGUCCUCAUGGCCCUUAUGGGUAGGGCUUCACACGUCAUACAAUGGUACAUACAGAGGGCCGCCAACCCGCGAGGGGGAGCUAAUCCCAGAAAGUGUAUCGUAGUCCGGAUUGUAGUCUGCAACUCGACUACAUGAAGUUGGAAUCGCUAGUAAUCGCGGAUCAGCAUGUCGCGGUGAAUACGUUCCCGGGUCUUGUACACACCGCCCGUCACACCAUGGGAGCGGGUUUCACCAGAAGUGGGUAGCCUAACCGCAAGGAGGGCGCUCACCACGGUGGGAUUCGUGACUGGGGUGAAGUCGUAACAAGGUA